AUUGAACGCUGGCGGCAGGCCUAACACAUGCAAGUCGAGCGGAUGAAGGGAGCUUGCUCCUGGAUUCAGCGGCGGACGGGUGAGUAAUGCCUAGGAAUCUGCCUGGUAGUGGGGGAUAACGUCCGGAAACGGGCGCUAAUACCGCAUACGACCUGAGGGUGAAAGUGGGGGAUCUUCGGACCUCACGCGAUCAGAUGAGCCUAGGUGGGAUUAGCUAGUUGGUGGGGUAAAGGCCUACCAAGGCGACGAUCCGUAACUGGUCUGAGAGGAUGAUCAGUCACACUGGAACUGAGACACGGUCCAGACUCCUACGGGAGGCAGCAGUGGGGAAUAUUUGACAAUGGGCGAAAGCCUGAUCCAGCCAUGCCGCGUGUGUGAAGAAGGUCUUCGGAUUGUAAAGCACUUUAAGUUGGGAGGAAGGGCAGUAAGUUAAUACCUUGCUGUUUUGACGUUACCAACAGAAUAAGCACCGGCUAACUUCGUG
rnacentral:rRNA from 1 species